rnacentral:rRNA from 1 species
AAACUAACAAGGAUUCCCCUAGUAACGGCGAGUGAAGAGGGAAGAGCCCAAGAUUGAAAGCUGGCGUCUUCGGCGUCCGCAUUGUAAUCUCAAGAAGUGUUUUCCGCUUCGGACCAAGCCUAAGUCCCUUGGAAAAGGGCAUCAUAGAGGGUGAUAAUCCCGUACAUGGCUUGGAGCGCCCGAAGCUUUGUGAUACGCUUUCUAAGAGUCGAGUUGUUUGGGAAUGCAGCUCAAAAUGGGUGGUAAAUGCCAUCUAAGGCUAAAUAUUGGGGAGAGACCGAUAGCGAACAAGUACAGUGAUGGAAAGAUGAAAAGAACUUUGAAAAGAGAGUUAAACAGUACGUGAAAUUGCCAAAAGGGAAGGGUAGGAGGUCAGAGAUGCGGCCUGGGAUUCAGCCUUGCUUUUGCUUGGUGUUUUUCCCAGAUUGCAGGCCAACGUCGGUUUUGGGCACUGGAGAAGGGUAGGAGGAACGUGGCACCUCUCGGGGUGUGUUAUAGCCUCCUACUGGAUACAGCGACCGAGACCGAGGACAGCAGCGUACUCGCAAGAGCGGGCCUUCGGGCACCUUUACGCUUAGGGCGUUGGCAUAAUGGCCCUUUAAACGAC